UACGGAGGGGCAAGCGUUAUUCGGAAUCAUUGGGCGUAAAGGGCGCGUAGGCGGCUUGGCAAGUCAAAGGUGAAAUCCCUCGGCCUAACCGAGGAACUGCCUUUGAAACUGCUUGGCUUGAGGCCGGGAGAGGGUAGCGGAAUUCCGGUGUAGCGGUGAAAUGCGUAGAUAUCGGAAGGAACACCAAUUGCGAAGGCAGCUUGCUGGGACGUUACUGACGCUGAGACGCGAAAGCGUGGGAGCAACAGG
rnacentral:rRNA from 1 species